rnacentral:rRNA from 1 species
UACGGAAGGCAGCAGGGGGAAUAUUGCACAAUGGGCGCAAGCCUGAUGCAGCCAUGCCGCGUGUAUGAAGAAGGCCUUCGGGUUGUAAAGUACUUUCAGUCGUGAGGAAGGUGUUAAGGUUAAUAACCUUAGCAAUUGACGUUAGCGACAGAAGAAGCACCGGCUAACUCCGUGCCAGCAGCCGCGGUAAUACGGAGGGUGCGAGCGUUAAUCGGAAUUACUGGGCGUAAAGGGCACGCAGGCGGUUAAUUAAGUUGGAUGUGAAAUCCCCGGGCUUAAACCUGGGAAUGGCAUUCAAGACUGGUUAGCUAGAGUCUUGUAGAGGGGGUAGAAUUCCAUGUGUAGCGGUGAAAUGCGUAGAGAUGUGGAGGAAUACCGGUGGCGAAGGCGGCCCCUGGACAAAGACUGACGCUCAUGUGCGAAAGCGUGGGGAGCAAACAGGGAUUAGAUACC